rnacentral:rRNA from 1 species
UACGUAGGGACCAAGCGUUGUCCGGAAUCACUGGGCGUAAAGGGUGCGUAGGCGGCCGUGCAAGUCUGGCGUGAAAGCCCCGGGCUCAGCCCGGGAAGUGCGCUCGAAACUGCGCGGCUCGAGUGCCGGAGGGGAGAGUGGAAUUCCUGGUGUAGCGGUGAAAUGCGUAGAUAUCAGGAGGAAUACCGGUGGCGAAAGCGACUCUCUGGACGGCAACUGACGCUGAGGCACGAAAGCGUGGGGAGCAAACAGG